rnacentral:rRNA from 1 species
GCAAGUCGAGCGGAAACGAUGGGAGCUUGCUCCCAGGUGUCGAGCGGCGGACGGGUGAGUAAUACAUAUGUAUCUGCCUAUCCGCAGGGGAUAGCUCGGAGAAAUCCGGAUUAAUACCGUAUAUUCCUUACGAGGGAAAGGGGGCCUAUCCUUGGAAGCUCCCGCUGAUAGAUGAGCCUAUGUGGGAUUAGCUAGUUGGUAAGGUAAAGGCUUACCAGGGCGACGAUCUCUAGCUGGUCUGAGAGGAUGAUC